AUGAACGCUGGCGGCGUGCCUAAUACCUGCAAGUCGAGCGAACAGAUGAGGAGCUUGCUCCUCUGACGUUAGCGGCGGACGGGUGAGUAACACGUGGAUAACCUACCUAUAAGACUGGGAUAACUUCGGGAAACCGGAGCUAAUACCGGAUAAUAUAUUGAACCGCAUGGUUCAAUAGUGAAAGACGGUUUUGCUGUCACUUAUAGAUGGAUCCGCGCCGCAUUAGCUAGUUGGUAAGGUAACGGCUUACCAAGGCAACGAUGCGUAGCCGACCUGAGAGGGUGAACGGCCACACUGGAACUGAGACACGGUCCAGACUCCUACGGGAGGCAGCAGUAGGGAAUCUUCCGCAAUGGGCGAAAGCCUGACGGAGCAACGCCGCGUGAGUGAUGAAGGUCUUCGGAUCGUAAAACUCUGUUAUUAGGGAAGAACAAAUGUGUAAGUAACUAUGCACGUCUUGACGGUACCUAAUCAGAAAGCCACGGCUAACUACGUG
rnacentral:rRNA from 1 species